AGCUAGCUACCCGAAAUCAUUGAUGGCCUUGAACUUAAUUGGUCUUAUUUUUCCUGAAACAAGUGGAAAUAAGGCACCAAGAGCAUUAGUGGAAUGAAAGGAGUUUGGACGCAAGGCUCAGUCUGUCAUGUCUUAACUCUUAACAAGUGAAAAAAUGAGUUGCUUGUAGAUGUUCAAUCCUUGUAUAUAGAAGUUCAAUUCAAUGUUGUAAAUUGCUGCUUCCAAGUAGUAGAAAGACAAUGUUGAAGUAUCAGAGUAUCGAUGGAAAUAUGUAGGUUACUCGUGUAAAUUGGAUUAAUUGUGGACAUAGAUGUGAAUUAACAAUGUUUGAGUUGUCGCUGA